rnacentral:rRNA from 1 species
GACAGAGGGUGCAAACGUUUGCUCGGAAUCACUGGGCGUAAAGGGCGUGUAGGCGGGAGGGAAAGUCAGAUGUGAAAUCCCCAGGCUCAACCUGGGAACUGCAUUUGAAACUCCCCUUCUUGAGUAUCGGAGAGGAAAGCGGAAUUCCUGGUGUAGAGGUGAAAUUCGUAGAUAUCAGGAGGAACACCAGUGGCGAAGGCGGCUUUCUGGACAUUACUAGUGAGACGCGAAAA